AAUGAAACGCUGGCGGCGUGCCUAACACAUGCAAGUCGAGCGAUUCUCUUCGGAGAAGAGCGGCGGACGGGUGAAUAACGCGUGGGUAACCUGCCCUGUACACACGGAUAACAUACCGAAAGGUAUGCUAAUACGAGAUAAUAUGCUUUUAUCGCAUGGUAGAAGUAUCAAAGCUUUUGCGGUACAGGAUGGACCCGCGUCUGAUUAGCUAGUUGGUAAGGUAACGGCUUACCAAGGCGACGAUCAGUAGCCGACCUGAGAGGGUGAUCGGCCACAUUGGAACUGAGACACGGUCCAAACUCCUACGGGAGGCAGCAGUGGGGAAUAUUGCACAAUGGGCGAAAGCCUGAUGCAGCAACGCCGCGUGAGCGAUGAAGGCCUUCGGGUCGUAAAGCUCUGUCCUCAAGGAAGAUAAUGACGGUACUUGAGGAGGAAGCCCCGGCUAACUACGUGCCAGCAGCCGCGGUAAUACGUAGGGGGCUAGCGUUAUCCGGAAUUACUGGGCGUAAAGGGUGCGUAGGUGGUUUCUUAAGUCAGAGGUGAAAGGCUACGGCUCAACCGUAGUAAGCCUUUGAAACUGGGAAACUUGAGUGCAGGAGAGGAGAGUGGAAUUCCUAGUGUAGCGGUGAAAUGCGUAGAUAUUAGGAGGAACACCAGUUGCGAAGGCGGCUCUCUGGACUGUAACUGACACUGAGGCACGAAAGCGUGGGGAGCAAACAGGAUUAGGUACCCUGGUAGUCCACGCCGUAAACGAUGAGUACUAGCUGUCGGAGGUUACCCCCUUCGGUGGCG
rnacentral:rRNA from 2 species